CCCUUUGUUCCUUCCCUCUCGCUUUCUCUUUAGCUUGUGAGGGUUAGAGUUUCCAUUGUAUCGAUCCCUUCCAAUCAAAGGUGAGUUGGGUGUGUAGUCUGCGUCGCAGGGUUCCAAACCCUUUCAAAAAGAUUAAAUAAACUGAUAGCAUAUUUUAAAAGUCACCAAAACCUUACUAUGAAAGAAGUAGAGACUUGCCUUGUAUUAGGUGUAGCUCGAGGCAAUCAAUCAUCACCGGGACAUAGUUCGGAAACAAGCUUUACUACUCCCCACAUGGGUGCAUCAUUCUGCAGAAAUCCAUGAAUUAAGUUAAAAAAGAGUACAGUAUCAUCACGAACAUAUAAGCAAGAAAUCAUGUCAACUUCACCACAUUUGACGAAUCUUUCAAUGGAAUGAAGCAAAAUUCCCAGCUUAUGGCACCAAAAACAUAUGCAACCUUUUCCUCUUUUUGGGACCUCCAUACACCCACAACAUUGAUCUUUCAACUUUUUUUGAGAAAAUUUGACGUGUUAUUUUGGUAUUUUCGCACGAUCUUACGAGAUUGCGAACGAACAUAUCAACGUUCUCGGAAUCUGCCGAAACCAAAUUCUUGGCUCUUUUUGGGACCUCCAUACACCCACAACAUUGAUCUUUCAACUUGUUCGCAAUCUCGUAAAUUUAGAAAACAAAAGAAAACAAAAGAAACGAGUUAUUCUUUUGGAUUAAAUUUAGUUUACCCUAUUGAGGUUUGGGGUUAACAUCAUUUCAGUAUCUAUACUCUCAAUUUUGAAAAUUUACCACUUAAAGUUUUCAAUUUUCAUAAAUCAUGCCCAAUUGCUAAAAUUCCGUCUAAUUUGAACGUUAAUUUUGACUUUAUAACUCAUUUUAAGGGCUAAAAUAGUCAUAUAACAUCAUUUAAUGUCUAAAAUUGCACGAAAUUUUAGCAAUUGGGUUUGAUUUAUGAAAAUUAGAAACUUUAGGAGGUAAAUUUUAUAAAAUUAAAAGUAUGUUAAAAUGAUGUUAACACCAAACCCCAUGGAGAUAAACUGAAAUUAAUCAUAUUCUUUUAGUGUAGCCCUUAAUGAUAAAGAUUCAGUAUACAAAAACAUCUACGAGGUCAUCCAUUUUUACUAUGAUUCUCAAUUAAAAAAUCAAGAAAUUCGUCUGAAUGGUAUACGAAUUUUUGUUCCUUAUAAACUUUUGUAUAUCAAGUUUUAAAAAUAUCAAAUUGGUAUCUCAUGUUUCUAUCUGGAUCUUAGAUUGGUAUAUAUAGCUACUAAGAUGACUAAUUUACCAAAAAAAAAGAUGACCAAAUAUUAAGAUGAGUAAUUUACUCACAAAUUUAUAAAAGCCAACCCAAGUCAUCACAUUCCAAAACCUCUUCAAAUAUUUCUGGAAUAUGAAAACAAAUAUAAAAAAAACUAAGAAAAAAAGAGAACUUAAGGGUAAAUUGGUCAUCUUAAUGAGUAUAUAUACAAAUCUUAGGUCUAGAUGGAAACAUGAGAUAUCAUUAUGUAUUUUCAAAACUUGAUAUACCAAAGUUUAUAAAGAGCAAAAGUUUGUAUAUCAUUCAGACGAAUUUCUCUAAAAAAAUUAGUUAAAAAGUUUAAAUAUAAAAUAAAAAAAUAAAAAUACAACACCUUCACAAAAGGCUAAUACAAAAUUAUCAUGAUACUAGGUUCCUAACAUCGGGGUUGAACCAUAACCCCAUUAAUAUUUCAUAGAAACCCAACAACAUUCCAGUUAGAGUGGAAAGUCCAGUUGGUACAAGCUUACAAUCAAUCAAACCAACCGCAGAGCUCUAAUAGUUUAUUUUGCAGUUAAAACCCACAACCUGUAAGCCUUGCAGCACUGUAUAUGAUUUGGGUUUAGCCUUCAUGUAUCUAAAUUUCUCUGGAAAAUAAUUAGCUCGACACUUCCUACAAAUUAUGCCAUUGCAGCAUAUUUCCAAAACGAAAAAAAAUGGCAUAAGAUUUUACUAUUUUGUUGAAAAUAAGAGACAAACUACAGAACAAACAGGCAUUACAAUCAGUGGCAAUCGAAAGUAACCCAAUGAAAGUAAUGAAAAGUUGAAAACCAAAGUAAACCCAGAUAAAAGAAAGAGAGGAUGAAGAGAAUAUAUGUACCCAAAUCGGACUCGAGCGGUUGACGGUGGCUGCGGCUGGAAGUGGAGAUCGGGCAGCCACACAAGAGAAGAAGGUGGCAUUUGUAUUACGAGUGUUACAAAGGUUUGGAGGGGGUGGGUUUGAGAGACACAGUCCUUCACUUUGGGCUUAAGGACGAGCCCAAUUCAAAUCAGCCAUCGACACUACCAACCUCUUUCGUAGUUGAGUGAAAUUUACACUCCCCAAAUUACAAACCACACUAUUUUCAUUGAGGUUGUGGUUAGACCAAUGGGCUAUUUGAUUCGGAAUCAGUGUGAACCCAUCCCUGUCGUGGAACGAGCGUUUAGAAGUUGAGACGUGCUUCCAUUGUGAGGAGAUUAUGAGUUGUCAUGAUGACAAUUAGUUUCCUUAACUACUACGAGGGAGGAGGGGUCGUUCGGUGAAACAUGGCUUACGUGUGGGGAUUACUUAUCCAAAUGUGGUUUUAGGCCGUUUACUCGCGCAGAUGUCCCUAAAUGUUGAUACAAGAAUUUACCUUAGAUUUCUGCUAAGCAAUAGGAUGCUUAUGCUGUGAUUCCCUACAAGACGAUGACUAGCGAUCAGAAGGGCUCCCGGACAGAUUCAGGUGUUGCCUCUUCGACGCUCAAAUCAUGAUCCAUAGCGAAAGCAAUUGGAUUUCUUGUAGAGACUAGAGGUAAGCAUAUACCUGAGCGUAAGAGCUUAGAAUCCCUUUUAUAGGUGGAGAGACGUGCUAUCAGCUGGAGCAUGCUCGUUUCUAGAAGAUUUCCACACGUGCGUCCAAAAGUGAGACCCAUGAGCGCGCAUGAAUGGUCAUAGCUCGUUGGUGAGAUACAUAUGCUUAGUCAUGCAUAACAUAGUUGACGGUGGUCCCACUAACAAAAACGAAAAGGAAACAAAAGGUAAAGGUGCGGUGCGGUUGGAAAUGAAAGGAAAAGUAAAUGGUGCCGAGGCUAUGGUAAAGGUUGCAAAAGCUGCAGUUUGUUUGUUUGUUGAGAGAGUUGUUUUUCUUUUACCCUAAAGCUGCACAAUACAUACUACCAAAUUUUUGUUGUUCAUUGUUGUAGGAGGAUUAAAGUAUUUAUUUUAUAACUGAAUUAAGUUAUCUUAAUUGUUUAAAGUUGCAUCUCCUUGUAAAACAUGGCUAGAACGAAGUAGUGACAUAAACCAUGAGAUAAACAUAAUUUGGGCCGCAUGUGUCAAACUAUCAGCUUAUGGAUAAACAUUAGAAUAAUAUUCAAAUUUAUAUUUGGGCUCAAAUAUUGGUGUCGCAAAAAAAAAGGUCAUAUUAUUG
rnacentral:lncRNA from 1 species